rnacentral:rRNA from 1 species
AAAGAGAGCCAGAACACAGGUGCUGCAUGGCCGUCGUCAGCUCGUGUCGUGAGAUGUUGGGUUAAGUCCCGCAACGAGCGCAACCCUUGUCAUUAGUUGCUACGAAAGGGCACUCUAAUGAGACUGCCGGUGACAAACCGGAGGAAGGUGGGGAUGACGUCAGGUCAUCAUGGCCCUUAUGGGUAGGGCUACACACGUCAUACAAUGGCCGGGACAGAGGGCUGCCAACCCGCGAGGGGG